AACCAACUCUUUAACGGAGGCUAAACCUUGCAGGUCUUUCCGCUCUCAUCCACUGUUAAUACACUUGAGUCCUGGUAGUGCAGUGGAAGGUGGAAGAAGCUGAAAUCAGGGAAAUGUUCUUCCACCAGUGAACUAAAGCUCUUGAAAAUCUACUUUGCUGGAAAUUAGGCCUUCGUUAUAGAAAACACUCUCAGUACCCUUCAGAAUGAUUGCUUUCCUCUCUUCCUGCCAGAGGCAUGAGUUCCCUGAAUCCUUUACAAAAUAUGUAUAAAAAUAUAACAACUUGGUGGAUGACGGAGUAGAGGAUUAGAGAAGAUAUUUUAUACCCUUAAGACCACAAAGGUUAUAAAUGGUGAAAGCAGAAUUUACACUCAAUUUUUUUGUGAUAUUAUAGAAUGAAUUCUUACAUAUUAUGGGACUCUUCAGUAUAAACAAAUUGUUUACAAAUUGAUUCUUAAAUAACAAGUGACAACUAAAAACUGUAACUGUUGGCUGGAAGAGAGCAAAGG